GGUUUAUCGGAUUUCAUAAAAAUUUGAAAUCCUGUCUUCCAUUGCAUGAUCCGAAACCCAACACUUUUUACAUCCUCUCUCUUAAAUUUCUUAUGCAAAAAAUCACUUCCAAUCUCGCACAAAAUUGAUCCCUUUUUAAGAUUGGCGUCCCAUGGAAGAUAAGGAUAAGAAUAAGAUAGUUCUGGUUCAAAUUCAAGUGUUGGUUGAUCCUUAUCACCAAUUCAAAUCAAAUUUGAAUUAAAUUUUGAAUCAAAUAUCAUAUUUAUCUUAUGAACUCAGAGCGGGGUCGACCAACAUUAGAAAGGUAUAAAAAAUCCCAUGCAUAAACACUUUAUGCGUGGAGAAAUGUGGUGGUGUGAAGAGGAGAGUCCAACUCAAUUUGGACUUUAAGAUUUCAUUCAAAUUCAAAUCAAUUUGAACUCAAAUUUAAACCAACCAAUUUCAAAUUCAAAAGAACUCAGAUGAGGACAUGGGAAAAGCUUCUGAGCAUUAGAAAAAAAAUCACAUAAAAUAUUUCUCAUGUGAAGAAUAAGAGGGCGC
rnacentral:lncRNA from 1 species